UCUCAUCAUUGGAGUUGUUGUCUUGAUAGCUUUGUUAGUAGUGGCUGCAAUACUGUUGUUUAGUCUCAUUAUUGGAGUUGUGGUAACAAUAGCAGUUGUGUUGAUCAUUUUAUUCAUUAACCUCAUCUUUGAAGACAUCCAUUUCUCAGACCCGUAACUAUUCUUUUUGCUGCUAUCUUCCAUAACUGACUCAUGAUAGCAGUGGUAAAGAAAAAGUUGAAAAAUAAUACUUACAAGUUGCUGUUCAAAAUAAGUGGUGUGAAGAAACUGGGCGAAAUGAUGAACUGGAAAUGGUUCGGGUAAAUGUCUUCUUCCCAAGAUCUGUUGCUAUCUAACAUUUGAAACAUAAGCAGAGAGUGAAAUGGUUCAAAGUUGCAAAGUACAAUGACAGGGUCUAGAGUUCAAGAAGAGAGGUAAAGUAGAGUAUAGGCUCUAGUCAAGAAAAGUACAGGUCAUAUUUGUAAGGAAGGUAAAAGGUAAAAAAUGAUUAAUUUCACAACGGUUAGUAAUGUAUGAAAAUGUAUAGAAACAUUG
rnacentral:lncRNA from 1 species